rfam:Nasonia vitripennis chromosome 4 unlocalized genomic scaffold Chr4_random038, whole genome shotgun sequence.
CAAUCAGCCCUUUUCAGGGCCACCAACAAAUAACGUAGAAAAAACU